rnacentral:tRNA from 1 species
GGCUUCAGAGCUCAGUUGGUUAGAGCAUCACACCCUUGUCGCAGGUUCACAGCUUCAAACCCUGCUGAAGUCC